GUGGGGAAUAUUGGACAAUGGGCGCAAGCCUGAUCCAGCCAUGCCGCGUGAGUGAUGAAGGCCUUAGGGUUGUAAAGCUCUUUCAGUGGGGACGAUAAUGACGGUACCCACAGAAGAAGCCCCGGCUAACUUCGUGCCAGCAGCCGCGGUAAUACGAAGGGGGCUAGCGUUGUUCGGAUUUACUGGGCGUAAAGCGCACGUAGGCGGAUCGUUAAGUCGGGGGUGAAAUCCUGGAGCUCAACUCCAGAACUGCCUUCGAUACUGGCGAUCUUGAGGCCGGAAGAGGUGAGUGGAACUCCUAGUGUAGAGGUUGAAGUCGUAGAUAUUAGGAAGAACACCAGUAGCGAAGGCGGCUUACUGGUCCAUUACUGACGCUGAGGUGCGAAAGCGUGGGGAGCAAACAGGAUUAGAAACCCUGGUAGUCC
rnacentral:rRNA from 1 species